GAAGGACACUUACCAUGUUCUCAACAGGCUGCACCAUGAUUGCUAGAAAAAUCCUUACUGUAAGAACGCCACUUACAGUCCUCAGUAUCAUGAUUGAUUGAACUAUUAUUGACCCUUUAAGAUAUUGCGAAAAAGUCCAUACUGAAACCGUAUAGUUAGCCGACAGAAGAACACUCGAAUUACAACCUGGAACAAAAGUGCGCGUUUCCUUGAACUGCUGACUAGCUGAGGAAACUGAGGGCGUCUUUGCACUGCAGUAACCUUCGAUUUCAAUUUCCUCAAGAAGUCCAGAUGUACUGUACCCAAACUGGGACUUCAGUGACCUCUCCUUACAACGGACAAAGUAAACAACCAGCAGCACGACAACCCCUAGUAGCCCACCUAUCAGCAGCAGCCAUGGGAGAGUGGAAGGGCUCGGUCCAGUAUCUGUUGCUGGGAGAUGAGAUUAUAUCAGAGGUGUUGGUGAACCCCUCCCGCAGCUGAACUGGCUACAUAGAGGGCACAGCAUGAUCAGAGGUAUGUUUUGAGAUGAAAGAGGAUGCCAACGUCGCCACCUAACCCACUCUUAAGAUAACCUUCGGGCCCACUGGGAGCCCAAGGCUGGUUAGGAGACACCGCUAGAAACUCUAUUAUGUAAUUGUGAUGAACUGAGAGAAUAUUAGGGUAGCACUGUGAUUCAUUAAUCAUAUGCUGUCUUCAUUGCUCCUCUGUUCUUACCUCUUUCCCUUUCUGUCUUUUACACCUCUCUCGCCUCCCCCUCUUUCUUCCUGUUUUUAUAAUGCACACCAGAUGUGCUUUGAAGUACAGAUUGCACUUGUAUUUACAAUAUAUUACAAUUAUAAUAUUUAUAAUGCAUAAGGUAUUUAUAACCCUUGGAUAAUGAACUUCUUUCAAUAAAGCGUUUCACAUUCU